AGUGCCACACCUGUGGCAUAUGGAAGUUCACAGGCGAGGGGUCAAAUAGGAGCUAUAGCUGCUGGCCUAUGCCACAAGCCACCACCACAGUAACGCAGGAUGUGAGCUAUAUCUGCGACCUACGCCACAGCUCAUGGUAAUGCCUGAUCCUUUAACCCACUGAGCUAGGCCAAGGUUCAAACCUUCAUCCUCAUGGAUACUACUCAGGCUCAUUACCACUGAGCCACAGUGGGAACUUCCAAGUUAUUUUCUUAUUAUGGUUGAGAUGCAUGCAAGAAUACUUUUGCAUAAACCAGGAAAAGACACAGAAUAAGUUUUAACAGAUUUAAGUGGUUCAAAUGUGCUUGACAUUUAUAAAAAUGUAGUAGUUAUCAUAAAAAGAAAUAAAUCAUUUUUUAUUAGAAAAUACAAAAAAAAAUUUUGUAAAGGAACACUUUUCAGAAUUAUACCUAGAAAUAUCUAAAUAAGACUUCAUGGUAAUCCAUGGUGAAUUGACUUCUUUACUUUGAGUAUUGAAUUAGAAUGCUAUUUUAUUACCAGUCCUUCAAUAUUCUGCAUUGUUAGCCUUAGGAGACCAUUGCCUGAGUGAAACAUAGCUAAAAAUUACCUUAAUCUACCUUAAUCUUAGGGAGCAGCAGAGAACAAAUGGCUGGAAAAAAAGUUGUUCAAAUUUUAUAAAACGUUUCAUUGUCUACAACAAGCUGUCUACUCCAAUAUAAAUACUGAAAUUCAGCUUUAGCUUUUCAAAUCGUGUUUCUUUUCAAUGAUUUUUUAGGUAUUAAUCUGAAACCAUUAUAAGCAGUAUAAAAAUAUGUGUAUAAAUCAUGAAAAUCAUUCUUUUUCCAUAAUGAUCCAUUAGAUCUUUAUGAUUAGAUGAUGAGAAAACACAGAAGAAACAUACAUGGCUUCAAAUAAUAGGAGAUAUCUCAAAGCAAAAAUGAUUUUAAAAAAUUUACAUUAGUUCUCCUUGCUAUUACUUAGAAUUAUAGACAUGUAGAACCUAAAGGAACUGUUAGGGGUUGAACUGUUUAGUCCUAAUCCUCAGUAUUUCAGAAUGUGGCCUUAUGUGGAAAUAGGGUUUUUUGCAAGUCAAAAUGAGAUCACUGGGUGGGCCUUAGUGCAAUAUGACUGGUUAGUAGAAAACACUAGAAGCUAGAGAAGGCAAAGAAUGAUUCUCCCUUGAAGGCAUUAGGAAGAGCAAGGUCCUUCUGGUAUCCUGACACCAGAGCUUUAGCCACAGAACUGUGAGAAAGUAAUUUUCUGGUGUUUUAGGCCACUCAGUUUUGGGUAUUUUGAUACUGCCACACUGGAAACUAAAACGAGAGGCUUCAGAAAGAACUUAUGAUCACAUAGGCCAAAAAGCUGAUGUAAAAAAGUGUCUUGCUGUUCAAGAUCACUUCCGACAGAACUCUAAAAACAAGAGCAUGGUGUUCUUCAGGACAAGGUUAAGGCUGCCUCUUCCCUCCUUGACAUAUUAAAAAUUCUCAAUGUUAAAAAGCACAUCAAAAGUUCAUUCUUUUAAGAUAUCUAGACUUCUGUAAAAACUGAAAAUAAAUAUUAGUAUUCUGCUUCCCUUUCCAUUCUUUCUAAGGAGCUGUAUUUCAAUUUCUAAAGCUAAAAACAAUUUCUAAAGUUUUCAAUCUUCGAGAUGAAAUUGAGGUUUCUUCUUAACCCACUUGAUACUUGAUUUUUAACAAAUGAUCCAUUUGCUAUGACAUUCAAGGUGAUAUGAGUCUUAAAAAGUAUUAGUAAAACUAUUAAAAGUAUUGUUAAAAUUUUACUAUAAAAUUAAGAGAAAAAUGAAAGUGUCAUGAAAGACUGCUGGUUUUUUAGUUACAUUUUUGGUAAUAUCGGAAUUAUGUAACCUCUGAAGGUACCAAUCUUAUAGAACCUAUAGAUAUCACAAAACAUCUCUUUUUUCACUGGUAAGAAUAAUUAUUUCUUUCAACUAAUUUUGGAGCCUCAUGAAGACAGAGAAAGAUCUUUGUGCAUUUUAGUAUCUUCUUUAACAUCUAGCACAAUACCCAACACAAAAUUCAUUCACCAAGUAUUUAGCAUUCACUAUGUGCUAGGUAUUACUCUAUAUGCUGAGAAUAGAGCAAUGAAGAGUACAUACACAGGGAGUUCCAGACGUGGUGCAGCAGAAACGAAUCCAACUAGGAACAUCAGGUUGCAGGCUCAAUCCCUGGCCUCGCUCAGUGGGUUAAGGAUCCGGCAUUGCCAUGAGCUGUGGUGUAGGUCACAGAUGUGGCUCAGAUCUGGCAUUUCUGUGGCUCUGGCAUAGGCCAGUUGCAACAGCUCUGAUUAGACCCCUAGCCUAGGAACCUCCAUNUCUUUGCCAUUACUGAGGUUAUCUUCUAAUGAAGAGAGACAAAGAAAGACAAAUAAAUUAAAUGGUAUAUUGGACGUGAUAAGUACUAGGGAGAAAAAUAAGGCAGGGAACAAGGACUAAGAAAUACUGAGGGUUGUUGCCAUUUUAAUUAGGAAUGAUAAAGAAAGGCUGCAGUAUUUUAAUUUGAUAUUUGACACUUGAGCAAAAGCCUAAAGAACGCAGGUUUGAGGGGUGCUGUAGGCGUUAAAACCUAGUUGCAUCUUUUCGUUGUCAAGAAAUAAGAUGACACUGCUUCCUCCUUUGCCUAGGAUGGCCCUAAUUUAUUUGCCUCCUAAUGUAAUUUAACUAUUAAUAGCUCCCUUUAAUUCUUACUGGUGUCCCAGAUUGAAUGAUAAAUUAUAUAGUCAUGCUACUUAGAUCAUUAUCUCUACAUGUUACCUACCAGUGUUUGUUAAAUGAAUGAGUAAAAAGAAAAUGUAUCUUCAUCUCACAUCUCAUCAUUUGUUAUUUGUCAGACUGUUAACCUCCUUGUGUAGCAAUAUUGCCAUCAAUCCCAAAGCUUAGAAACCGAGACUGAUGCUGAGAGAACCUUUUAAUAUCCUUAGGUGAAAAGCUCAAAGAUACACUUAUGAUUAGUAUCAACAGUAACAAAUUUCUCUCACUAUGUAAGUUUUAUUUAGUAUCCUCCUUGUCUUUCAUUUCACCGCUGAGACCAACAUCUUUAUAGAGGUCCAGAUGGUGUAGAGAGAUUAUGACAAUGAAAGGUAGCUCAUGCUGAGGGCCUAAAGGAAGGACAAAUCACGGCUUGCCUGAAAAACCAAAUUCAAUUACACACUUACUAUAUCCUUAUCAGAUGGGGCACUCAUUCUGUACCAUGCCUUGAGCAACUUUUGAUAACAUGUGAGUGGAUUAGUAGUUGUACACAAAAGAAGGGCACUGUGGACAAUUAUAAUUCUUCCCACCAUAAGUAAGCUACAUCACAUUCAUUCUAGAGUGGGGGAUUCAUCAAAAUGAAUAACUGUACAGAAAUCCCUUGUUAAUUAUCUAAGGGUACAUCUUAUAAAAGACUUUAGAGUUCUUUGUAACCAGAAGAAACUUUGAAGCAUUCCAUGUUUGCAAGCUGGCCCAACCAAUUUGUCUAAGUAGGUUGUCAGGAGAAGAUGAAGACUUCCCCUCAGAUGUGUAAUUUACGCCCCCUACCCCAUUCUGGAUUCAAGAAGUGCUAAUUAGAACUGGAGUGCUUUUUAGAAUCUGCAUAAAUUCAGCCCUGUCAACUUUGCCUGUGCCCCUCUGCAAAGUGGAAAACAGUGAUGUUCUACAUACCGUGUUAAUGUAUAAAUAACUUCUAUGCUCAUUUAGCCACUUCAGCACAUCCAAGAAAAUGACAUUAUGAAUGAGCUACAUUACCUAGAGGAAACAGACAGACUAAAUGUGGGCUUCUACACAACUUAAUAUGCAUCUAAUGUACAACUUAAGCAGUAUCUUCCACACUAAGUGACAGGCAAUUUAUCUCCAUACAUCAGUAUGUGUCAUGAAUAUGACACAGCUGUAUUGUUAAAGGACUUUGAAAUUUCCACCCAUAACUAGAUUUUCCUAUCUCCAUUUAUUAGCAAGCUACUUGUAGAAAUCACAUUAAUUGCCACAUUCAUGCCUCUGCUAGCUGCCAUUUAAUUAAUAUUGUUUAAGCAAAAAUAAAUUCCCCUUUAUUGGAAUCAAGCCAAGCAAGAGGUCACUGUUAUUUUUAGACAGUUACUUAUGUGUGUGUAUAUAUGUACAUGUUGUUACUGUUAAAAUUCCCCUAUUUCUUUUAUGCAAACGAUCUACAUCAGUCACAGGACAUUUACCACAAUUUAAUAUCUGUUAUUCAAAGUGCCUGUUUUCUGGCAAGACAAAUGUCAACAGUUUUUGAAAACUAAGCACUCUUUAUUGUUUAGCUGGCAGUUAUAAAAAACACAUCUAACAUUUUUGUUAUUUCUUUGAAGAAAUAUC
rnacentral:lncRNA from 1 species